UUAAACUCAAAAUAGACCAUGUUACCUUAUCAUCAUUCUAGAUGAAAUUACUGCUCCAUAUGAAGCCUAAUUGUUGGAGGAUUAGCAACAAAUCUGUGUAGGUGCAGCAAAUCUGUGUGUACGUGCAACAAAUCUGUGUAGGUGGAUAGUGAACAAGUAUCUAAUACAGAUAUCACAAUUUCAAUUGAA